AAAAAAAAAAAGAAAAACAUGGAAACUCUGUCCUCUCACUCCCUCUUUCUCUCUCGCUCUUUCUCUCAUCGAACAACAACAUCGAGUUGUACCAGAUACAAGUUUAAACUAGUUUCAAUCUGCGUUUAAAAUUCUCGCGAAUGGCAGAGAGCAGAGAAAAGUCGCGAUCUCUCUCACUCCUGGAUUUAAACAAGAACAGACAUUCUCGUGUUGCAACCUUCUGUCUGUUUCCGCUAGAAAAGAAAGCGGACGGUGGAGGAAGAAUUCGUGAGGCUUUUCAAGAGAAAGAGAUUCGCAUGUACCUGCUGCUGAAUGAAGGGGAUGACUAAAAAGAUCCCCCCGAUCAUUCACAGGAAAGAGGCAUCGCACUAAACGCGCCUACGUGACACAGAUCGACGACAUCGACGAGACAUCCUUUAUCCAAGUAACGUCGCAAAUUUAUAAAAAACCGAUCGACGAAUAGUAUCUUUUUCUUUUCCUCUCUUUAUUUACCCCUUCCCUUUCUCUCUGCCUUUUUCUUUUUCCUUUUCCUUUUCACAUCUUCCGGAAGAGAAACAAAUAUUGACCAAAGUGAAUUCGUGAGAGGACGGAGCCUCGAUGCUACGUGUUACGUAUAUAUGUGUAUAUCGCGUUGGGAAGGAGAUGAUACAUGUGUAUCGUCUCUCAUACGUCACGUAUAUGCGUCUCGAUAGUGUGUGUAAGAGCAGCGAUAUAAUAAUACAGUAGAGUAGUAGUGUAGUAGUAGUAGUAGUAGUAGUAGUAGUAGUAAUAGAGAGUAGUAGUAAUAGUAGUAGUAGUAUAGUACUAAUGUAGUGGUAGUAGCAGUAUUGGUAAUAAUGUAUAGUAGCAAUAGCGACAGUCCGUGUGAAAAUUACGUCUGUUUCGUCAUUGAAUAAAAAAUGUGGAGGCAAACCUUUGGAUUAGAGUCUCGGCCACGGAAACACUCUCUAAUGCCAUUGUUUUGUCCCGAUCGAUCGUGUUUUGUACCAUACGAUAUACCACUGUGGCCCGAAGUUGAUCAUUCGAUCGAUAGACGCGACCACACACGACGGAUCUUUGCUCGUGGAUUCGCGUGCCUGUAUAUGAUCAUUUGAGACUUUGAAAAUAACUUGAUAAUGGGCAAAUAAACUCAAAGGAAGGCCCGAUUGUCCGUUUCUAUCUCUCUCUCUAUCUCUCUUUCUCCCUCUCUUUCGCUAAUCCUCUCUCUCUCUCUCUCUCUCUCUCUUUCUCUAUCUCCCUCUAUAUCUGUCGGUAUCUAUUACAUGCUCGCGUGAGCGCAUUCCCACGGACAAAGAUAUUACAAAUUUAAAAAAAAAAAGAAUACAAUUCUUAGCCUCUUUCUCCCAGCCCGAGUUUAUAAGUCUGCUCUCAGAACGGGUCUCGUUUACCGAACGCUUCUGUAUCUCUCUCUCUCUCUCGCUUUCUCUCACACAAAGAGAAAGCUAAACUCGAAUAACUGUAUAUAUAUGUAUAUAUAUGUAUGUAUGUGUAUAUAUAUAUCUAGAAGCUUUCUGAAGUUCUUUCGAAUCGAUAUCGCACUUAAAUUUGAUAAGACAUGUUCACUGUGGUAUCUCCCUAUCCUUCUUUCUCUCUCUCGGUUAAUUAAAUAGAGAAGAAAAUGGCGCGAUAUUUGUCAUGCCACAGAGCUACGUCAUUUCUGCUGACGUGGCACAUGGAACAAUCAUUAUCCGUUUAUGUACCUCUAUUACGCGUGACAAAUAAUUUCGAUUUAAACGAAUGUCAUGGGAUGCGAUAGUAUAGAGACGGUUUAUUGGACAUAAAAACGAAUAUCGAUAGAAUAAUUAUUUAAACGCGUUCAAGGUAAAUCUAUGAUAAAACAGUGUCUUCGACGAAAAGGUGUACGGACAAAGCCACGAGAAGCUUGCACUUCGCAUCCCGACGUGAUCAAAUUUGUCGUCCUCCGUGCUUCUCUCUGUAACGCGGGAGAGGGGGAACGGAAAAGGGAUCGCAUCCGUGGAUGCUCCCUUCCUAAAAAACGACCGCAAGAGGGCAAGCGUCCAAUGAUUCUACGUAUUUCUAUAUACCAUAUAUAAUAUUAAGCCCGACGUAUUUUCAUUUCUCUUUUUACGCGUCGAUCGAAGCAAAAUGAAAUUCUUUUUUUUUUUUCUUAUCGAUUCACGGAUUCGCGCGAGUAUCGUUCAUGAAUCUUCGACGAUGUAGUCGGUGACGACGCGAUGGUGACGUUUCGCGUUUUUCUUCCGCGAUUUUAAAGAAAAUCUUAUUAAUCUUUCUCUCUUUUUGUCUCUUAGUCUUUCUUUCUCCUCUCUCGCUCUCUCUCUCUCUCUUUCUCUCUUUUUCUUUCUCUCUCUCUCUCUUUUUGUGUUGGUAAGAGAAGAGAUAAUGAACGUUUGUGUGAACGAGACUAGUGACCGUAGACAGGCAGACAGGCAGGCGGGCGGGCGGGCAGGCAGACAGGCAGACAGGCAGGCGAAGAGUACGAUUAUCUUUCGGACAGAGCGUUACUACUAAUUGUCAGCAAAGAUAGUAUAAAAAUGUAGCAAUUGUGAGUACGAUGAGCGAAAACUUCAAAGAUCAAACUAAACAUGGCCACAUCUGGAACUAUUCUGAGCGGGCGGCUGCACGGAACCUGGGAAAGGCGGUCGAGCGAGCGGGAGCAGGUCAGGGGAGGGGGGGUAUAGUUACCUUCGCUUUCACCAAUCGUAGAACGUACGUAUGGAUCACGUGCUUCUCCACCCUUUAUUUGGUCUUCCCCCCCCCCAUUCCUUCUCCGUUCUCACCGACGCUCUUUCUUCGCGCUCUCUUCUCUCUUCUCUCUGCCGCCAUGUUUCCAUCACCACCCGUUCCGUUAGCAUCGCGUCAUUCUGCGCGAAAGAAAUUCCUGAAGUUGCCGAGAUCGUUCCCUCGUCUCUUCCAACGCAAUGGCGGACUUAAUAUCAUCUACUACCUAUCGUAAAAACAUCUAACCUGAAACUGCUACUUUCAAUCAACGAUCGUCACGGUUAUCGAACAUUGCGCAAAUAGAAGAGCGCGCUUUGUUUCGAAAUACAGACAAUGAAUAAUUAUUUUUUUUGUAAUUAUCGGUACAAUAAUUAUAUAUAUAUAUAUAUUUAUAUGGAUAAGUCAUGUAUUUAUACGCGUUAACAAUAAUAUAAAUUUUUAAGAAAAGAUGAUAAAAGUUAUUAAUUGAAUUAAUAAUUUUAAUUUAACAGAAGGACAUUGUAUACAUAGUAUAUAAUAUAAAAAUAUAUUUUUUUCUUAUUUUAUAUAAUGUUAUUAUAUUAUAAUACUGUACAAUAGUAUGGAACUUGCGUUAUAAAAACAUUUGGUUACCAAAUGUAACUUUUAAUAAUUUCAACAUAUUAUCCUUUUACCUGUUCGUGUGAACGAUGAUGAAAGACGAACGAAAUACCACUAGACCAACAUUGUCGUAAUGGAAUGUCUGGUAAAUGUCUAGGAUUAUGAGCAUGUCGCCAAUCUGAUAGAUCAGAAUUGCAGUCUGAUUGUUCUGGCGGACCUUUUACUUCUAUUCCAUUAACACAUCUUGUACAUUUGAAUCUGCAAUAUAUAACAAAAGAAAUACAGUAUUUUGAAAAAAUUUCGGAUCGAACGUACCUAUUUAAAACUUACUUCGAAUGUGUAUCUGAAACUGUAUUCUCUUCUAACUUAAAUAAGUCGCGAAGAUCGUUCAAAGUGAAAUGUCUUGCAACAUCAUCUUCUUGAUCAACCACUGUUGAACUCAAUGCUUUUUUGUGUGCUUGUCUUUGAAAAAUUUUUUCUUCUAUUGUGCCAGU